rnacentral:miRNA from 1 species
UCAUCACCAUCAUCAUCAUCAUCAUCAUCAUCAUCAUCAUCAUCAUCAUCAUCAUCAUCAUCGUUGCCACUGUGGUGUGGUGAUAAGAAAACUGACAUUAGAGUCAGA